rnacentral:rRNA from 1 species
AUGCUAGCCCUAAACAGACAAUCAUUUUACAAUCGUUUUUCGCCAGGGAACAACGAGCCUCAGCUUAAAACCCAAAGGACUUGGCGGUGCUUUAGACCCCCCUAGAGGAGCCUGUCCUAGAACCGAUAAUCCCCGUUUAACCUCACCCCCUCUUGUUCUUUUCCGCCUGUAUACCUCCGUCUUCAGCUCACCCUGUGAGGGCCUAGUAGUGAGCAAAAUUGGCAAUGCCUAAAACGUCAGGUCGAGGUGCAGCUUAUGAGGGGGGAAGAGAUGGGCUACAUUUUCUGCCCCAGAAAAUACGAAUUUUGCCCUGAAAAAGCAUCUGAAGGUGGAUUUAGCAGUAAGGGGAGAUUAGAGCGCUCCCCUGAAGCCGGCCCUAAAGCGCGUACACACCG